AAAACAAUCCUACGGGAGGCAGCAGUGGGGAAUAUUGCACAAUGGGCGGAAGCCUGAUGCAGCGACGCCGCGUGAGGGAUGACGGCCUUCGGGUUGUAAACCUCUUUCACCAGGGACGAAGCGUGAGUGACGGUACCUGGAGAAGAAGCACCGGCCAACUACGUGCCAGCAGCCGCGGUAAUACGUAGGGUGCGAGCGUUGUCCGGAUUUACUGGGCGUAAAGAGCUCGUAGGCGGUUUGUCGCGUCGUCUGUGAAAUCCCACGACUCAAUCGUGGGCGUGCAGGCGAUACGGGCAUAACUUGAGUACUGUAGGGGAGACUGGAAUUCCUGGUGUAGCGG
rnacentral:rRNA from 1 species